rnacentral:rRNA from 1 species
CAGCAGCCGCGGGAAUACGAAGGUGGCGAGCGUUGUUCGGAAUCACUGGGCAUAAAGCGCACGUAGGCGGUGACGUAAGUCGGGUGUGAAAUCCCUCGGCCUAACCGAGGAACUGCGCCCGAUACUGCGUUGCUUGAGGAUCAGAGGGGUGCAUGGAAUUUCCGGUGGAGCGGUGAAAUGCGUUGAUAUCGGAAGGAACUCCGGCGGCGAAAGCGAUGCACUGGCUGAUUUCUGACGCUGAGGUGCGAAAGCCAGGGGAGCAAACGGGAUUAGAUACCCGCGUAGUCCCUGUCUCUUAUAC